AGAGUUUGAUCAUGGCUCAGGAUGAACGCUAGCUACAGGCUUAACACAUGCAAGUCGAGGGGCAGCAUGGUCUUAGCUUGCUAAGACCGAUGGCGACCGGCGCACGGGUGAGUAACACGUAUCCAACCUGCCGUCUACUCUUGGACAGCCUUCUGAAAUGAAGAUUAAUACAAGAUGGCAUCAUGAGUCCGCAUGUUCACAUGAUUAAAGGUAUUCCGGUAGACGAUGGGGAUGCGUUCCAUUAGAUAGUAGGCGGGGUAACGGCCCACCUAGUCUUCGAUGGAUAGGGGUUCUGAGAGGAAGGUCCCCCACAUUGGAACUGAGACACGGUCCAAACUCCUACGGGAGGCAGCAGUGAGGAAUAUUGGUCAAUGGGCGAGAGCCUGAACCAGCCAAGUAGCGUGAAGGAUGACUGCCCUAUGGGUUGUAAACUUCUUUUAUAAAGGAAUAAAGUCGGGUAUGCAUACCCGUUUGCAUGUACUUUAUGAAUAAGGAUCGGCUAACUCCGUGCCAGCAGCCGCGGUAAUACGGAGGAUCCGAGCGUUAUCCGGAUUUAUUGGGUUUAAAGGGAGCGUAGAUGGAUGUUUAAGUCAGUUGUGAAAGUUUGCGGCUCAACCGUAAAAUUGCAGUUGAUACUGGAUAUCUUGAGUGCAGUUGAGGCAGGCGGAAUUCGUGGUGUAGCGGUGAAAUGCUUAGAUAUCACGAAGAACUCCGAUUGCGAAGGCAGCCUGCUAAGCUGCAACUGACAUUGAGGCUCGAAAGUGUGGGUAUCAAACAGGAUUAGAUACCCUGGUAGUCCACACGGUAAACGAUGAAUACUCGCUGUUUGCGAUAUACGGCAAGCGGCCAAGCGAAAGCGUUAAGUAUUCCACCUGGGGAGUACGCCGGCAACGGUGAAACUCAAAGGAAUUGACGGGGGCCCGCACAAGCGGAGGAACAUGUGGUUUAAUUCGAUGAUACGCGAGGAACCUUACCCGGGCUUAAAUUGCAGAUGAAUUACGGUGAAAGCCGUAAGCCGCAAGGCAUCUGUGAAGGUGCUGCAUGGUUGUCGUCAGCUCGUGCCGUGAGGUGUCGGCUUAAGUGCCAUAACGAGCGCAACCCUUGUUGUCAGUUACUAACAGGUUCUGCUGAGGACUCUGACAAGACUGCCAUCGUAAGAUGUGAGGAAGGUGGGGAUGACGUCAAAUCAGCACGGCCCUUACGUCCGGGGCUACACACGUGUUACAAUGGGGGGUACAGAGGGCCGCUACCACGCGAGUGGAUGCCAAUCCCCAAAACCUCUCUCAGUUCGGACUGGAGUCUGCAACCCGACUCCACGAAGCUGGAUUCGCUAGUAAUCGCGCAUCAGCCACGGCGCGGUGAAUACGUUCCCGGGCCUUGUACACACCGCCCGUCAAGCCAUGGGAGCCGGGGGUACCUGAAGUGCGUAACCGCGAGGAGCGCCCUAGGGUAAAACUGGUGACUGGGGCUAAGUCGUAACAAGGUA
rnacentral:rRNA from 1 species